rnacentral:rRNA from 1 species
AUGAGAAGGGAUGUGCAGAGAUAUGUUGCACGCUGCACUACAUGCCAAAAAGCUAAGUCACGAUUGAACCCACAUGGUUUAUAUAUGCCUCUUCCUGUUCCUAGCACUCCUUGGGAAGAUAUAUCUAUGGACUUUGUAUUAGGACUACCUAGAACACGACGGGGGAGGGAUAGUAUAUUUGUUGUUCUCGAUAGAUUCUCUAAGAUGGCACAUUUUAUACCUUGUCAUAAAAGUGACGAUGCUACUCACACUGCUGAUUUGUUCUUUAGAGAAGUAGUUCGUUUACAUGGUGUGCCAAAUACAAUUAUUUCUGAUCGUGACACAAAAUUUCUUAGCCACUUUUGGAGGGUGUUGUGGACAAAAUUAGGGACUAAGCUUUUAUUUAGUACUACAUGUCAUCCUCAAACUGAUGGUCAAACUGAAGUGGUUAAUCGUUCAUUGUCUACUAUGCUUAGGGCUAUUUUAAAAACAAAUUUAAAAAUGUGGGAAGAAUGUCUACCUCAUGUAGAGUUUGCUUAUAAUUGUUCAGUUCAUUCUACCACAAAGUUAUGCCCUUUUGAGAUUGUUUAUAGAUUUAUACCUCGUGCGCCUAUUGAUUUAUUACCUAUGCCAACUUCGGAGAAGGUAAACCUUGAUGCUAAAGAACGUGCAGAGUUAGUAUUAAAAAUGCAUGAGAUGACUAAGAAAAAUAUUGAACGCAUGAAUGCCAAGUAUAAACUUGCUGGUAGUCAGGGGCGGAAAAGAAUUGUGUUUGAACCAGGUGAUUUAGUAUGGUUGCAUUUGCGAAAAGAAUGUUUCCCUGAUUUACGAAAGUCAAAAUUAAUGCCUUGUGCGGAUGGACCUUUUAAAGUGCUUGAAAAAAUUAAUGAUAAUGCAUAUAAGCUUGAUCUACCUGCAGAUUUUGGGGUUAGUCCCACAUUUAACAUUGCAAAUUUAAAACCAUACCUUGGUGAGGAUGAUGAGCUACCGUCGAGGACGACUUCAAUUCAAGAAGGGGGG